AUGUGGAAAAAUGAAAUUUAAUUGUAGUUUAGGGGCGAAAUGUCAGUCGUAUUUUAUAUAUCUAGUUACUUUAGAAAUAAAUUGAAUUUAGUCUUUAUAAGUGAAUAACUAUGAAGAUAAAUUUUUAGGGGGAAUAGCUCCUAGAAAUUCUUGUAUAAAGUAUAUUAUAAGGGUGGUAUAAAAUUAGGCUUAGAAUCAGCCACACUUUUAUAACGUUUUAGUAAAUAUGUUAGAAAUAUUAUCUUUUAAUAAAAAUUUUACUUGGAUUAUGAAGUUAACUUUAAUAAUUUUAUUUAUUUUGAAAUAAUGAUUGUAUUAGUAGAAAUAUUAGUGUUACCGUGUGAUACGCGAGUUAGUGAGCGUUAAAAUUUAAAUUUUUUUAGCUAUAUUUAAGGAACUCGACAGACGAUAUAUUCACCUGUUUAUCAAAAACAUGUCUGUUAUAAAAAUUUUAACAGUCUAACCUGCCCACUGAAAUUUUGAAGGGCCGCGGUAUUUGGACCGUGCUAAGGUAGCAUAAUCAAUAGUCUUUUAAUUGGAGUCUGGAAUGAAUGGUUGGAUGAAAUAUAAGUUGUCUUGGAUUGUAGUGGUUGAAUUUUACUUUUGAGUGAAAAGGCUUAGAUGAAUUGGGGGGACGAUAAGACCCUGUGAAGCUUUAUAUUAUUGAGGUGUUUACUAUUAAUAUUUUGGUAAUUAAGUUUAUGUUUUAAUAAUAUUGUGUUGGGGCGAUAAGAAUAAAGUGUGUAACUGUUUUUGUUAUAAAGAUAAUGAUAUUUAGAGUGUUGGUCCUUAAUUUAAGAUUAAGAGAUUAAGUUACUCCAGGGAUAACAGCGUAA
rnacentral:rRNA from 1 species